GCAGCAGGACUCAUCCCUGUGGAAACACUGUCAUCUGAGUGCUGGGGAAGGUGUGAAAAAGAGAAACAUGUACUGUACACCCUCUUGAAAACUGCAUGGUGUGGAGUCUGUGAAAGAAGUCACCGUCUGCUGUCAGUGCUAAGGAGAUGUCAGCUUAUAACUCAGCAGACAAUCUCUGCUGGAGGUAAAUUACUGGAGGUGUUGGACUCGACCUAUAAGUGAGAAGAAGAAACAGGAGGCCUUUGGUGUCUGUUCUCAAUUUGCCAGAUGGAUUUUCCUUCUGAUUUUUUCUCAAAGACAAUAUGGACCUUCAGCAAACCUAACGCUGGCGGGUGAAUUGAUAAUGAGACAGAUUCAAGACUGCAAAGAUGAUACACAAGUAAUACUGAGAUCUUACACCAUUACAAAAUUAUUACAAUCCUCAGUUCUAGAGACUUUGAUUCAUAUUUGAAGGUUAUGAAACAUGUCUAUUUCUUGGCUACUGGACAGAAUUCAACAGAGGACAUUCAAAAACUGAGGUGCGUAACUGAACAGUGUAGAAGUUAACACUAACACCAAGUUUGUUGGUCAUUCAGUUGUUGAAAUUCAGUUUCUGUUCUAUUUUCUCGACAUUUGGCCUGAUAAUAGCAUUACGUGAAAAGAUAAGGGAUCACCCAAGUCUACAGUUCAUCAUGGGGGGUCCAAGCCACCAAGUUUAUAUGGAGACAUACUCAAAAUAACAAAUGUUAGUCUCAUGGUGGUGCGAUAUUUCAGUCUGGAUCAGUGUUGGACUGAGCGGCUGCCAUCGCCAUGCCGCUGGUAUGUUUGCCUGUCUGACAUAGACAGAUAAUACAUCACUCUUUACAGUAAAGAGGGAGUGAAAGAGGCUUUAAAAAGAACUGGAGGCUGGUUGAAUAGGAAUACCAAGUGCUCAUCAAAACCUUAACAUUGUCAUAAAACAUGCAUUUGGUGUAGCUAACAGAAGAAGUCACAUCGUCAGCUAUAUCAUGCAGUUUUACUUUUGAUUUUGAAACGCGCCUGCGUUGUGGUGUUGAUGUGUGGCGAGUGUGUGUAUGAGGCACAGAAAGAUGAGGCCUAUUGCUGGUCUGCGGAUGAGAAGAAAGUAGCUGGUAAAUGGUUUCAUUUCUGAGAUGAAACCACUCAUUCCACUUUCUUCUCCUCUGAGACGCCCCUGCAGCUGAGUGCAUGUGAAAUGUGAGAGGCCGUCAUCGGGACAGAGUUCUGGGUGAUUCGACUUACUGGCAGCACUUCAUGAUAGAACACUGAUAGUGCUCUUUCUACGACAAUUAGAAGGUAACACAGGAUGCAACACACCCUGUUGUCACCAGAUGCCGUUACAAGUUGUUGACUUUUCAGACAACCACUAAGAUGCAGUCAUUUUCAGUACUGUACCAGCCAUAGCACGUCGUCAGUGUACACAUUGCUACUGCGACGUGCACUGUGAUGACUUUUAACAUAAGUGUGGAUAGAAAAAUCAGGGAAGGGAGACGAUCCAGAUGUCGCCCUCUCCCCUCCCAAAGCAGUUGUCAUUAGAGUGCAUGUUUGUGCGCUGCACUCCACCUCCAUCUGACCCUGUGACCCUGUGACGCUGUUCAGUGACCUGUGAUGUUCCUAGCAGAUUUGUUAAUAGAAAUGUACACCGUUCAUGCAUAAGUGAAGGAAACUGCACCUGUGCUUUUACUAAUGAAGUGCAGGAUGACAGAUUUAUUGAAUGGUUUGUAGUUUGUUGGACAAACCCAGGGGAAGAGAAAAUUAGAAAAAAGAACAAAAAGACGCACAAAUUAGCCGCUAUUUAAAUUUCAAAGGAGAUUUCAUCAAACUCUAAAAUAAUUCAGAUUUUCUGAACUUUUGUGCCUCCUUCUGAUCUCUCUUCUCAUCCAGGCCUAAUUCAUGCUCAUGCUAAGCUCAGACAGAGCAGACUUUGAGCUUCAUAAACACAGAUGUUGAGGUGGAAGUGUUGCAUUGAAGUGCAUACAGUUGUACAGGUGUGCUUAAUAAAGUGAAUAUCUCCCACUUUUUCUUUAAUGUUAGUCAAAAGCUGGUUGUAGACCAAACUCAAACUACACUACCAUGCCUGCGUCCACACUUGCAGUACUGCACGCCCACUUUUGCUGAAAGCACCAAGUUGAAAGUCAUUGUGGGAAGCACAGGAAAUGCUGGUACAAAGUGAAAAGCAAUAUGGGGCAUGUUGAGGAGAACACUAUACAGCAAAAGGAAAAUGAAAUGGCUCCUAGAAUAAAUCAGGGAAACUAGAUUUGUAUCUGAGAGUCAUUUUAAUAGAAAACCACACUGUAGUCUAAAAGAAAUCUGCCAGUGCAGCAGCUUUCAAAUCCCAGUAUUCACCUGUACCAUGCAAAGAGAUGUAAUCUUAUCGUCUAGUUGUUCUGGUGCCUUUCAUGUAAACCCACGGAUUUUCUAUGAAUAUCCUCCCAGUUACUUUCCCGUCAGGACAGGACUGCAGCGAGAAGGACACAUUAUGUAAAUGCAGGAACUCUAACACAGACGCCAGCGGCGGGAGCUAUAGAAAUGAACUACGGAGCGGCCAGUUGCCUUUGUUGGUGGUGGUGGUGGGUGACAGCAGCUGUAUUUACCACCGGAGCCUGUUCUGUUGUUUCCUAAAAUGUAAUGAGCACCAGGGCCGCUGCCGCUCUGAUGUGGCUGUUCACCUCAGAGCAGAGCCACAUUUCACCAGCUGGUGAUAACGGCCAAUAAUAAACACAGUGUUGUCACUAUGAAACACAGAAGUGUCCAUGAGAACAUGGUUUUCUUAACAUUUGACAUUUAUUUGCCAUUUUAAUGCAUAUGGCAUACGUGCAGGUCUGGGUUGCUAGUGUGACACGUUGAGUGUCUCCUGCUUUAGUUUUGGUCCGUUUCCAGCAAGAAUUCUGAUUUCAGACUGAUUCCCCGUUCAUACACUGUGCACUAGCUGAGCACAAAGACGCUCUACAGUGUUUGUAAAAUUUGUUUUGCAUGUCUGUUAGUCCAUAUAAUUGUCAAAAUUCCUAAUCCAGGCUGUGUUUUAUUUGUUUUUCCAGAGGUUGCAGUUAUUCAGCAACAGUUCUUUUAUUAAUUGAUACAGAACAAAUUAGAAACCACUGCUAAUGUUAAAAAUGUCCCUUCACUGUAGAAUAAUGUAUCGUACAGUUUCCCCACUUACUGUUCAGUUAGACAUACAUGUCUUAAUGUUUUGGAUCUUAAUUCAGAUUUCUGUUAACUCUUAACAUGUCUUCACUGCGGCGUUGGUUCUCAUUAGUUUGUCCCAUAUAUACCAAAAUCACAAACUUGAUUCAAAGAACUUUACAGCAUCUGAUCAACACCCCUGUCGUUGCCAGUCCUCAUUAUGACAUGUUGGCUUGGUUUGAGGCCAAAGUCAUGAUAUUAAUCAUCAAAUGCACAGUUAGGUUUAUAGCUCAGCUCUCAGACCGAUUCUAAACAAGCUGAAGAUGGAGGAUCUAUAGUGUUUAUCAAAUCUGCUUUUGCAUAUCUGCUUCUUUAAAUGAAGUUCAUGAUUCUUCCCGAUUCAAAGACACUAUCCAUCUGCUGCUGCAGCCUUAUUCACGCUUUAUAUCUUCUCAUGCGUUUGAC